ensembl:snRNA U6 U6 spliceosomal RNA
GUGCUCACUUCACCAGCACAUAUACUAAAAUUGAAAUGAUCCAGAGAUUAGCAUGGCCCCUGUGCAAAGAUGACACACAAAUUUGUGAAGCACUCCUUAUUUUU